GGUUAAAAAUUCAUCCAUUUGUAUUGUUAAAAACUUGUGUGGUUGAUAGAAUAACCAAAAAGUGAUGUCAUGUGUACCUCGUAUGCCGAAUCAGUUUUUAAUAGUAGAAACGAAUGUAAUUUUUAACA
rfam:Gossypium hirsutum cultivar TM-1 unplaced genomic scaffold scaffold238.1, whole genome shotgun sequence